rnacentral:rRNA from 1 species
UACGUAGGUGGCAAGCGUUGUUCGGAAUUACUGAGCGUAAAGCGCGCGUAGGCGGCUCUUCAAGUCAGGCGUGAAAGCCCCGGGCUUAACUCGGGAACUGCGCUUGAUACUGUCGAGCUAGAGUGUGGAAGGGGCGAUUGGAAUUCCGUGUGUAGCGGUGAAAUGCGUAGAUAUACGGAGGAACACCAGAGGCGAAGGCGGAUCGCUGGGCCAACACUGACGCUGAUGUGCGAAAGCUAGGGGAGCAAACGGG